GCCAUUUCCAUGCCGACACUCCCACACCAUCGCUCUCCCUCCUGGCGUCUUCCCCUUCCUCUACCACCGCUUAGGAUGCUCUUCGCUUCAGCCAUGGAUGAGACUCCUACGUGCCUCUGCUCCAGCGAUGGACGCCGGGGCGCCCUUCUCUGGCCCAUGGCCGCCACGGUGCGCAGAGCAGAGAAGCACCUCUGUUCCUCCUUCCUUCCUCCAAUGUCGACCGACGCCAUGGAACCAAACCCAAGAUCUCCAUCUCUAAUCCAGCGCGCAGGGCAUUUCUCAGGGUCCGAGCUCGAGCAGGUGAGCUCGUCCCCUUGGCUUGGGCUCCUUGUUUGCUUUCUGCACGUACGCUCCCUCUCCCAUCUGGCUUCCUGCCCUUCUCAAGUCCGGCCACCCCCGCCUUGCCGUGGAUUCCAUCGAGCAGCCCCACCUGGCCGCCAUCCUCCCCAGACCGACGCCCCCUUCCACUCCUCCCAUGUUCAGCGCCUGGAGCGAACCCCUGCCGCGCCUGAGAUCCAGGCAGCCAUGGAGGGCAGCCGAACCCCUUCUCCAUGGCUUGAGCCAGCGCCCUCUCCCUGCUGGUUCCUUGGUCGUCCCUUCCCUGGUGGGUACUCAGUCACCCUCCCCUAUCUCUAUUCUAGCAGCUAGCACACGAAAUCCUCCUCGGUGCCUAGUGCCCAUGCCGACACCACGCCUUCUCCCAUGGCUGAGCGUGGGCGCUCUUUUCCCCAUGCCAUGGAUGCACCUCCACCUGCUCCUGUUGCAUGGACGCAAGCCCCAGCUCGUCGUGGUCAACACGUCCAAUGUGCCCCUCCUAGAGACGCUCGACCUCCUUGUUGUGCUGCCUCACCCUCACUUCCAUCUUCCUCGCUGUUCUC
rnacentral:misc_RNA from 1 species